UGAAAUGUCCAGACUCCACUUGGAGUGACGUC
rnacentral:piRNA from 1 species